CCUACGGGCGGCUGCAGUGGGGAAUAUUGCACAAUGGGCGCAAGCCUGAUGCAGCCAUGCCGCGUGUGUGAAGAAGGCCUUCGGGUUGUAAAGCACUUUCAGCGGGGAGGAAGGCGUUAAGGUUAAUAACCUUGUCGAUUGACGUUACCCGCAGAAGAAGCACCGGCUAACUCCGUGCCAGCAGCCGCGGUAAUACGGAGGGUGCAAGCGUUAAUCGGAAUUACUGGGCGUAAAGCGCACGCAGGCGGUCUGUCAAGUCGGAUGUGAAAUCCCCGGGCUCAACCUGGGAACUGCAUUCGAAACUGGCAGGCUAGAGGCUUGUAGAGGGGGGUAGAAUUCCAGGUGUAGCGGUGAAAUGCGUAGAGAUCUGGAGGAAUACCGGUGGCGAAGGCGGCCCCCUGGACAAAGACUGACGCUCAGGUGCGAAAGCGUGGGGAGCAAACAGGAUUAGAUACCCCUGUAGUC
rnacentral:rRNA from 1 species